ACCUGGGUGGCUUAGUCGGUUAAGCGUAAGACUCUUGAUUUAGGCUCAGGUCUUGAUCUCAAGGGUGUGAGUUCAAGCCCCUCCCUGGGCU
rnacentral:tRNA from 1 species